AAAAAAACAAACCCUAGGUUUCCGUGUCAAAUGUUUGAUUGUCCGUCUUAUAUAAUUUUUUUUAUAUUAGUAUUUUCAUUAUUGUUAGAUGAUAAAACAUGAUUAAUACUUUAUGCAUGACUUGUCUUUUUAAUUUUUUCAUAUUUUUUAAAAUAAGAUGAACAGUCAAAUCUAGGGUUUAUC
rfam:Oryza sativa Japonica Group DNA, chromosome 5, cultivar: Nipponbare, complete sequence.